GGAAGUAAAAGUGUAACAAGGUUUCCGUAGGUGAACCUGCGGAAGGAUCAUUAGUGAAUAUUAGGGCGUCUACUUCGGUAGGGCCUGACCUCCACUUUCUAACUCUGUGCACUUAUUUGGCGGAAAAGGGAAUUAGUAAUCUGUCUAAUGACGAUUGCGACUUCUUACUUUCUGCGGCUUACUUUAAACACUAGUCAAAGUAUGUAACGAAAUAUCGAAACAAAUAAAAACUUUCAACAACGGAUCUCUUGGCUCUC
rnacentral:misc_RNA from 1 species